AAGUCGUAACAAGGUUUCCGUAGGUGAACCUGCGGAAGGAUCAUUAUUGAAUUUUAAUGAAGAGUUUGGUUGUAGCUGGCCCAUUCAUUUGGGCAUGUGCACACCUUUCUCUUUCAUCCCACACACACCUGUGAACCUGUGAGACAGAUGGGGAAUUUACUUGUUGCUUUUUGGAAUACAAAGGCAAUAGGUCAUUGGACCCUCUGUCUACUCAAUUAAUAUAAACUCAAUUUAUUUUAAAACGAAUGUAAUGGAUGUAACACAUCUCAUACUAAGUUUCAACAACGGAUCUCUUGGCUCUC
rnacentral:misc_RNA from 1 species